AGGGGUCAAGGGACUCCCUAGGUUGCUUAUCUGGCUCCCCUGUGUGUGCCUGGCUUUGUUGCCUUGGUAUCAAUGGAUGUCACAAUCCCUGGAGUUUGACCUUUCCCCUCCAGCCAACCAGAAGCCAGGGGAUUCUGGAAUCUCCUUUGCAGUAACAGACACCUGAAGCCCAGAGACACUGGGAGUCUCUAGGGGCUCCUGCCUUAUUCUCCUAGAUGCGCUAAGAACAGCCUCUGGGUGAUUGUACUGUCGGUUCAGACCUCCAAGGGAACACUGCCCCCCUCCCAGGUCGGAUCUCUGGUUGGAGGAGAGGAAGGGAGAUGACCUCAGAGGCGAGGGCAGUGGUUAUGGGGAGUGCACCACGCCUCCCAUAAGUGGCCAGCACCAAGCCAAGACCACCGGCUUAUAAAGUGGGGC